rnacentral:rRNA from 1 species
AUGAACGCUGGCUACAGGCUUCACCCAUGCAAGUCGAGGGGAAACGACGGGGAAGCUUGCUUCCCCGGGCGUCGACCGGCGCACGGGUGAGUAACGCGUAUCCAACCUGCCUCUGACUGAGGGAUAACCCGUCGAAAGUCGGCCUAAUACCUCAUGGUAUCGUCUGCGGGCAUCCAACGACGAUUAAAGAUUUCAUCGGUCAGGGAUGGGGAUGCGUCUGAUUAGCUUGUUGGCGGGGUAACGGCCCACCAAGGCUACGAUCAGUAGGGGUUCUGAGAGGAAGGUCCCCCACAUUGGAACUGAGACACGGUCCAAACUCCUACGGGAGGCAGCAGUGAGGAAUAUUGGUCAAUGGGCGAGAGCCUGAACCAGCCAAGUAGCGUGCAGGAAGACGGCCCUAUGGGUUGUAAACUGCUUUUAUGCGGGGAUAAAGUGAGGGACGUGUCCCUCAUUGCAGGUACCGCAUGAAUAAGGACCGGCUAAUUCCGUG